UGGGGAAUAUUGCACAAUGGGGGGAACCCUGAUGCAGCCAUGCCGCGUGUAUGAAGAAGGCCUUCGGGUUGUAAAGUACUUUCGGUGAAGAGGAAGGUUUAAGCUCUAACAGGAAUUAAACUUGACGUUAUUUACAGAAGAAGCACCGGCUAACUCCGUGCCAGCAGCCGCGGUAAUACGGAGGGUGCGAGCGUUAAUCGGAAUGACUGGGCGUAAAGGGCAUGUAGGCGGAUAAUUAAGUUAGGUGUGAAAUCCCCGGGCUCAACCUGGGAACUGCACUUAAGACUGAUAGUCUAGAGUAUUGUAGAGGGAGGUAGAAUUCCAUGUGUAGCGGUGAAAUGCGUAGAGAUGUGGAGGAAUACCGGUGGCGAAGGCGGCCUUCUGGACAAAUACUGACGCU
rnacentral:rRNA from 1 species